UCCAGAGAUGGAUUGGUGCCUUCGGGAACUCUGAGACAGGUGCUGCAUGGCUGUCGUCAGCUCGUGUUGUGAAAUGUUGGGUUAAGUCCCGCAACGAGCGCAACCCUUAUCCUUGUUUGCCAGCGAGUAAUGUCGGGAACUCCAGGGAGACUGCCGGUGAUAAACCGGAGGAAGGUGGGGACGACGUCAAGUCAUCAUGGCCCUUACGAGUAGGGCUACACACGUGCUACAAUGGCGCAUACAGAGGGCAGCCAACUUGCGAAAGUGAGCGAAUCCCAAAAAGUGCGUCGUAGUCCGGAUUGGAGUCUGCAACUCGACUCCAUGAAGUCGGAAUCGCUAGUAAUCGUGGAUCAGAAUGCCACGGUGAAUACGUUCCCGGGCCUUGUACACACCGCCCGUCACACCAUGGGAGUGGGCUGCAAAAGAAGUAGGUAGUUUAACCUUCGGGGGGACGCUUACCACUUUGUGGUUCAUGACUGGGGUGAAGUCGUAACAAGGUAGCGCUAGGGGAACCUGGCGCUGGAUCACCUCCUUAAACGAUGAU
rnacentral:rRNA from 1 species